GCUGAUGACCACCGCGCUUUUUAUUGACCAUUUUGCACGCAAACUGGAAAACCUGGCGUCGUCAUCUAUUCUUAAAGAGCAAGGCAACUAAGCCUGCAUUAAUGCCAACUUUUAGCGCACG
rnacentral:misc_RNA from 1 species